GGAAAGCUGCAUAGCGGCGGACGGGUGAGGAAAACGUAGGAACGUGCCCCUUGGAGUUGGAUAGCCACGGGAAACUGUGGGUAAACCGACAUAGACUCGAGAGAGUAAAGGCCGAAAGGCGCCAAGGGAGCGGCCUGCGGCCCAUCAGGUAGUUGGUAGUGUAAAGGACUACCAAGCCGACGACGGGUAGCCGGUCUGAGAGGAUGGCCGGCCACAAGGGCACUGAGAGACGGGCCCUACUCCUACGGGAGGCAGCAGUGGGGGAUUUUGGACAAUGGGCGAAAGCCUGAUCCAGCGACGCCGCGUGGAGGACGAAGCCCUUCGGGGUGUAAACUCCUUUUCUCAGGGAAAAAGGAUGAUGGUACCUGAGGAAUAAGCCCCGGCUAACUACGUGCCAGCAGCCGCGGUAAUACGUAGGGGGCGAGCGUUACCCGGAAUUACUGGGCGUAAAGGGUGCGUAGGCGGCCUUGCAAGUCCGGUGUUAAAAGCCCUGGCUCAACUAGGGAGAUGCGCUGGAAACUGUAAGGCUUGGGUGCAGCAGAGGCAGAUGGAACUGCUGGUGUAGGGGUGAAAUCCGUAGAUAUCAGCAGGAACGCCGGUGGAGAAGUCGGUCUGCUGGGCUGCGACCGACGCUGAGGCA
rnacentral:rRNA from 1 species